GACGUUCAAUAUCGACGUCAUAAACACCAAAGUUGAUCGUUUUUAUGACGUCGAAUAUCGACGUCUUAAACACCAAAGUUGAUAUUGUUUAUAACGCCGAAUAUCGACAUCGUAAAUACCUAAGUUGGUCGUGUUUAUGUCUUCGAAUAUCGACGUCAUAAACUCCAGAGUUGAUCGUGUUUCUGUCGUCGAAUAUCGACGUCAUAAACACGUAAGUUGUUUGUGUUUAUGACGUCGAAUAUCGACGUC